UACGUAGGGUGCGAGCGUUGUCCGGAAUUAUUGGGCGUAAAGAGCUCGUAGGCGGUGUGUCGCGUCGGCCGUGAAAACCUGGGUCUCAACUCUGGGCGUGCGGUCGAUACGGGCAUCACUAGAGUUCGGCAGGGGAGACUGGAAUUCCUGGUGUAGCGGUGAAAUGCGCAGAUAUCAGGAGGAACACCGGUGGCGAAGGCGGGUCUCUGGGCCGAUACUGACGCUGAGGAGCGAAAGCGUGGGGAGCAAACAGG
rnacentral:rRNA from 1 species